UAGUGGUGCACAUUACAACACGAACUAAUGGCAUGAGAAAAAUUGUAACGCACAAACAUUUUAAAUCUGAUUUCGGGAAAGUCGUCAUUCACUCGUUCAAUAGCCGAUGGGACAUUUUGUCACCGUGCUUACAGAAAGAUAAUGUUCGCGGUUUUUGGAGCUAACCGGUGACUCUGAGUCAGGAGCAGAGUCAUUCCUCACAGAUGAGGAGGUGGUCUGCCAGGAGGGACUUUACCCAGCUGAAGAGAUGCAUUGAUGAUCACAAAGGAACAUGAAGAAGAGCAGCACGUGUAAGAGGUCUUUGCAUUGCUGCUGACGGCCACUGGAGCCAAACUCUGGAUGACUGAGUACAAGAGCCGUGGGACUUGCAGACUUUUGAAAGGA